AAGAAAAAUAAAUAAACCAUUUCAUGAUCAAGCUCUUAUUUCUAAAGAGAGGAUUUUAGGGCUAAACAAAUCAAAUAAGUAAGCCCUCCCCCACAUCUUCUCUAUUUCAUGUAGGUAAUGAUGGAGUUCAAAGGCACAGAGCCCCAUUUCUACAACAUAAGCAAAGUGAAAAUUAAUUCAUGGAAUACAAUGACAUAGCUGUGGUUGAUGAACUAUAUUUUAUCUAUUGCAAUGAUAUUUUGAGAUCCAGUGCUGCUCACUGAAUUUCCCUGUGAGGAGAGUUUGUGGUGAUGACCCAGCAACAGACAAGCUACUAUCCAAAAAAAGCUACUCACAUCAAAUCAAUU
rnacentral:lncRNA from 1 species